GGAAGCACGGGCGGUUUGCCCGACGCAAUCAAAAUCGCGGGCGGUGGUUCGUUCAUCGUGCACCCACCCACACGCUUACGCAGAUCUCGGGCGCCGCCGCCAGGGCAAUGGUGUCUGAGCCCGACCCCGACGUCUCCCUCCUGCCCCCCGCUCCGAGCCAUAGCCACAAACCCUGCCUCCGGGCAGUCAAGUCCACGGCCUUCAAGCGCGAGGAGCGCCACAAGCGCAAGGAGCAGAAGCGGGAGUUCAAGCGGCAGCGCAAGGAGCAGAAGCGGGAGCGCAAGGAGCAGCGCAAGGAGCAGAAGCGGGAGCGCCGCAAGCGCAAGGAGGAGAAACGGGAGCGCCGCAAGCGCAAGGAGGAGAAGCGGGAGCGCCGCAAGCACAAGGAGGAGAAGCGCGAGCGCAAGCGGCAGCGCAAGCGGGAGGACAGCCUCGCCCUAGCGCUCGCCCAGUGGGAGCCCCUCGGUGCCCCAGCUGGCCCGGCUGCCGCCUCCGCCCCCGGCGCGCCACCCGAAGACAGGCCCGGGCCGCGUGACCCGUCCUCGCCCGCGGGCGCCGCGCCCUCCGCCUCCUGGAUCUGGGGCCCUCCAGCGGAACCCUCGGCCGACAGGUCCUAGGGGGCGGAGCGAGGGAGACGGGGCGGUUCCUGUGCCUGGUGUGCGAGGGGAUCGUCGCCAAGGCGGGCAUGCGGUUCCCCGGCAGCGCGGCGCUGGUGCAGCACGCCGGCUCGGUCGCCCGGACCAAGAGGUGGCUCACGCCGACGCCCUUGUCUGCCUGCUCGGACAACGCCCUUUCCGGUAGAUUGUGACAACGAUGGCGCUUGUGAUCAAGCUGAGCACUUGGAUGAUUCUGCAAGUGCAGAAAUGAAGGUGCCUAAUUUUGCUCAUCGUGCUAAGUUAGAGAUUCUUUCUUGGUCAGAAAGCUGAGAAAUACAUGUGAUCUAGUUUGAUGUAUCGAUAACCUGGAUGCUCAUUGUCAACGUCUGCGUGUAAUCUAGUUGGAUGCUCUGGUAUCGUUGAUGCUUGUUUUUAACAUCUAAAGCUGUAUCUAAAAGUUUCUGAUUUGCAGUGCAUCGUAUUUCAAUUGUUGAUUCCUGAUGUUUAUUGAUCUUGAGUUUGAAGGAAAUGAAAGUAAAUAUCUAUGAAUAGAAAUCCAUCGAGUCUAACUGCUAGAAGUAGUCUGAUAUUUUAUUUUGAACUUAAGUAGUCUGAACGUUUUUUUAACUAAAGUAUUCUGAGCUUAUGGUUGGAGGCCAUUGUCUCCUUAUCCUGAAAAGAAAUUAACAAAUCACAACUUCUGUCCGAGGUAUGGAAAUUCCAAACACAUAUCUACCUUAUUUUCUACAUACAGAGCAAUCUACAAUGAUGUGAUGACACUCCUUAAGGUAGUUAAUACCAUGCCUGAUGAAGAAAACUUUAAGAUUCAUAUUAGUCUCUUGUCAGAAUAUUUUUUUCUUUUGUUGAUUUUAUCUUUUUCAAAAGAUCAAAGAUACCAUGUACAGGCCAGCUUUGUGCCGUAACUAGUGAGGCAGAUAGCAAACGUUUGGAAUGCCGACAGAGGCUGGUGGUAGGUAGUCAAAUGAAAAAACAUCAUCAAGUUUUCCAAACUGAAGGAAGUACUGUCGCAUCCUGAAGAGUGAUUAGUAGGAAUUUCUUCACCGAAGCAGCCAUACCCGGCCAUGGAAAUUCAAGCACCAGCAUUUCAAAUGCUCGUGCCAUCGUGCCUAACUUAUUAUCUAGGGCCAACGAGCUCGGGGUGCUGAGUUUCUCUGCCUCCUGUGGAUCUACUGUGGAUCUAUUGUGAGAGGGCACUGAAAACUGCAGUGUAUUCUUCUCGGUCCCCUUAUCUACAUCCAGAAACAAGCACCUUGGGAGAAUCCUGGUGCUCUCAGCGAUCAACGCAUUCUGGCCGUCAGAUUGGAAUUUUGAUGCGUUUUGGACCAUUGGAUGUCGCUCCUGGAAGACCUCGGCCGUCGGAUGGAGAUGAUCUACUGCUACAAUGAAUAGUUACUGUUUUUCUCGUUUUUUCUCACGCCGGAUUUAGGCCUGCGUCUUGCUGAUGGGUGGGGCCUCUCUCCGGUGGGCCUCACCUGUCAGUUGCCGUGGCUGGGAGAGUGUUACGUGCGCCCAUCGGCGGCUCGAGUGGUAAAAUAUGCCCUUCCACCGCCCGUGCCACCGCCUGAUAUUCCGUUGCCCGCAGAGGGUAUUUUUGGUAUUUCAUCUUUUGGGUCGCUCCGUGGUGGCCGUGGAUUGGUCGUGCUUCGAUGAGGUGGGGGGUGGUGGCUGGCCUGGCUCCUCCUGCUCCCAUUCGGCCCGUUCGCUCCCCCUUCGCCGCUCCCCCUUCGCUCUCGCUGCCGUUCGUCCUCCUCCUCCUCUAGCUGCCGUUCUUCAGGUGAUCUUCCCCUUCUCUCUUCGCCUGUUCUCUUCACCUGUUCUCUUACGUUUCUGCCUGUCUUGCAGCUGGGUCGGUGGCGCGGCGGAGGAUCUGUCUUCAGAGUUGACCGGAGAGGCUUCCGAGAUGGCCCAGAUAGUUCUUUGAUUCGUUGUUUGCCUAUUCGUUUGUGGUGUGCUGUACGGGUGCUGAUUCAGGACUGAGUUGUUUUUCAUGAAUCUGUUUAGGUUUUGCUGGUUGAUCCGUCCUGAUUGGGAUCUGUCUGUGGUUCUGGUUACCUAGCUGGUGGGUCGUGCCGCUGCUGGUGCGCAAGGGUGUCUCGCUGGUUUCCUUGCAGGAUGUUUGCCGUGAGUUGUUCUUAUGUGCACAUGUUAGAUGUCGUCAGCAACAUCCACACCUCGUCAGCAGAGAUAGACAAGAAGGGGAUCUGGCGAAAGGACGAUGGACGACGCCUACGUAUCAGACAAGGAGCUGCACGUGUUAUUUGCCUAGGAGGUUCGGAUGGAUCACCAGGUGCGACACACACAAUGACCGUCUGCUAUAUCUCCCAAGAUGCAGUUAAUUGUGUCCUUUUUGUAAGCACGAUCUGUAACGAGCACUUGUUAUUCUAUGCGUAUGACUGUACGGACUACUGUACGAUCGUCUUUAAGCCACCCGGUGCUGUCGUACGCUCUAUGCCUAUGAUAUUUGGUGCUAAAUCUAUCGUGAAAUGUGCUUUCUAUGUU